rnacentral:rRNA from 1 species
UACAGAGGUCUCAAGCGUUGUUCGGAUUCAUUGGGCGUAAAGGGUGUGUAGGUGGCGCCGUAAGUCGGGUGUGAAAUUUCGGAGCUUAACUCCGAAACUGCAUUCGAUACUGCAGUGCUUGAGGACUGGAGAGGAGACUGGAAUUCAUGGUGUAGCAGUGAAAUGCGUAGAGAUCAUGAGGAAGACCAGUGGCGAAGGCGGGUCGUCUGGACAGUUCCUGACACUGAAGCACGAAGGCCAGGGGAGCAAACGGG